rnacentral:rRNA from 1 species
AUUGAACGCUGGCGGCAGGCCUAACACAUGCAAGUCGAACGAGUGGCGGACGGGUGAGUAAUGUCUGGGAAACCGCCUGAUGGAGGGGGAUAACUACUGGAAACGGUAGCUAAUACCGUAUACCAUCAGAUGUGCCCAGAUGGGUUUAGCUUGUGGGUGGGGUAACGGCUCACCAAGGCGAAGAUCCCUAGCUGGUCUGAGAGGAUGACCAGCCACACUGGGACUGAGACACGGUCCAGACUCCUACGGGAGGCAGCAGUGGGGAAUAUUGCACAAUGGGCGCAAGCCUGAUGCAGCCAUGCCGCGUGUAUGAAGAAGGCCUUCGGGUUGUAAAGUACUUUCAGCGGGGAGGCGUUACCCGCAGAAGAAGCACCGGCUAACUCCGUGCCAGCAGCCGCGGUAAUUC